UCCUAGCUGCGGUUACUAAAAGGAGGGG
rnacentral:sRNA from 1 species